GAUGAAGAACGCAGCGAAAUGCGAUAAGUAAUGUGAAUUGCAGAAUUCAGUGAAUCAUCGAAUCUUUGAACGCACCUUGCGCCCUUUGGCCAUUCCGAAGGGCAUGCCUGUUUGAGUAUCAUGAACACCUCAACUCUCAUGGCUUGCCAUGAUGAGCUUGGACUUUGGGGGUCUUGCUGGCCUGCGGUCAGCUCCUCUCAAAUGAAUUAGCUUUCCAGUGUUUGGUUGGCAUCACAGGUGUGAUAACUAUCUACGCUUGUGGUUUCCACCAGGUAACCCUCAGUAACAUGGGGGUUUGCUGGAGCUCAUAAAUGUCUCUCCUCAGUGGGGACAGCUCUUUGAACAUUUGAUCUCAAAUCAGGUAGGACUACCCGCUGAACUUAAGCAUAUCAAUAAGCGGAGGA
rnacentral:misc_RNA from 1 species